rnacentral:rRNA from 1 species
AGCGGGCUGGAACCUCUCGGGGUUACAGCCUUGCUGAAUUAUUCACCCUUGUCUUUUGCGUACUUCUUGUUUCCUUGGUGGGUUCGCCCACCACUAGGACAAACAUAAACCUUUUGUAAUUGCAAUCAGCGUCAGUAACAAAUUAAUAAUUACAACUUUCAACAACGGAUCUCUUGGUUCUGGCAUCGAUGAAGAACGCAGCGAAAUGCGAUAAGUAGUGUGAAUUGCAGAAUUCAGUGAAUCAUCGAAUCUUUGAACGCACAUUGCGCCCUUUGGUAUUCCAAAGGGCAUGCCUGUUCGAGCGUCAUUUGUACCCUCAAGCUUUGCUUGGUGUUGGGCGUCUUGUCUCUAGCUUUGCUGGAGACUCGCCUUAAAGUAAUUGGCAGCCGGCCUACUGGUUUCGGAGCGCAGCACAAGUCGCACUCUCUAUCAGCAAAGGUCUAGCAUCCAUUAAGCCUUUUUUUCAACUUUUGACCUCGGAUCAGGUAGGGAUACCCGCUGAACUUAAGCAUAUCUA